AUAAUAAAAAUAAUUUUAGUUAUUUAUAUUUUUAGUAUAUUUUAUAGAAAAAAAAAAAUUAAUUAUAGUUUAAUUGUAUUGUAAAAGAUUAUUGAAAUAAUAGUUUAUUUAUAAAUAAGUAAAAUUGAUUUUUUGUACCUUGUGUAUCAGGGUUUAUUAAAUAAAUAUUAAAAAUUUUAAUUUUCUCGAUUUUAAGAGAGCUAAUAAAUUAUAUUUAUUAUUGUGAAAAAAAUAUUUAAAAUAAUUUAUUAGUAAUGAAAUGUUAUUCGAUCUUAAAAAUAUCUAGUUUAUUUAGAAAUGAAUUUAAUUCAGAUAUUUUAAUUUUAUUAAAUUAAUUUUUUAAUUUAAUAAAUUUCAAUAUUAAUAAUUAAAGGGAUUAGCUUUUAAUUAAAAAUUUAUAAAUUAAUAAAUAUUAUUAAAAAAUGUAAGUUUAGAAAUAGCUAUCAAUAAUAAUUUGUUAUAAUUAAUUUAAUAUUUAAUAUUAUUUUAUAUAAUUUUAAGUUUUUUAUAAAUAAAUAAUUUUUAAUUUUGUAAAAUUAGAUAUAAUGAUAGAAUUAGUAUAUAAAUUGAAUUUUUAAAUAAUAAUUUAUAAUAGAUUAUUUAAAGGAAUUCGGCAAAAAUUUUACUCGCCUGUUUAACAAAAACAUGUCUUUUUGGUAUUAUAUUUAAAGUCUAGCCUGCCCACUGAAAAAUUUUAAAUGGCCGCAGUAUUCUGACUGUGCAAAGGUAGCAUAAUCAUUAGUUUUUUAAUUAAAAGCUCGUAUGAAAGGCUGGACGAGGUAAGAUCUGUCUCUAUUUAAUUUAAAUUAGAAUUUAAUUUUUAAGUUAAAAAGCUUAAAUAUUAAUAAAAGACGAGAAGACCCUAUAGAGCUUUAUAUUUAUUGUAAUAUAAUAUAUUUUGAUUUAUUUAAGUUUUAUUAUAAUAAUUAUUUUAUUGGGGUAAUAAAAAGAUUAAAAUAAUUCUUUUAAUUUAUUAACAUUAAUUUAUGAAAAUUUAAUGAUCCAGUUUUAUUGAUUAAUAGAUUAAGUUACCUUAGGGAUAACAGCGUAAUUUUUUUAGAGAGUUCAUAUCGAUAAAAAAGUUUGCGACCUCGAUGUUGGAUUAAAGAUUAGUUUAGGUGUAGAAGUUUAAAUUUUUGGUCUGUUCGACCAUUAAAUCUUUACAUGAUCUGAGUUCAGACCGGCGUAAGCCAGGUCGGUUUCUAUCUUUAUUAAGUUAAAAUAUUUUAGUACGAAAGGACCAAAUAUUUAAUAUAUAUAUUUUAUUUUUUGAAUAUU
rnacentral:rRNA from 1 species